AGACCCGAAACCCGGUGAUCUAGCCAUGGGCAGGUUGAAGGUUGGGUAACACUAACUGGAGGACCGAACCGACUAAUGUUGAAAAAUUAGCGGAUGACUUGUGGCUGGGGGUGAAAGGCCAAUCAAACCGGGAGAUAGCUGGUUCUCCCCGAAAGCUAUUUAGGUAGCGCCUCGUGAAUUCAUCUCCGGGGGUAGAGCACUGUUUCGGCAAGGGGGUCAUCCCGACUUACCAACCCGAUGCAAACUGCGAAUACCGGAGAAUGUUAUCACGGGAGACACACGGCGGGUGCUAACGUCCGUCGUGAAGAGGGAAACAACCCAGACCGCCAGCUAAGGUCCCAAAGUCAUGGUUAAGUGGGAAACGAUGUGGGAAGGCCCAGACAGCCAGGAUGUUGGCUUAGAAGCAGCCAUCAUUUAAAGAAAGCGUAAUAGCUCACUGGUCGAGUCGGCCUGCGCGGAAGAUGUAACGGGGCUAAACCAUGCACCGAAGCUGCGGCAGCGACACUGUGUGUUGUUGGGUAGGGGAGCGUUCUGUAAGCCUGUGAAGGUGUACUGUGAGGUAUGCUGGAGGUAUCAGAAGUGCGAAUGCUGACAUAAGUAACGAUA
rnacentral:rRNA from 1 species